rnacentral:rRNA from 2 species
GCAUAUCAAUAAGCGGAGGAAAAGAAACCAACAGGGAUUGCCCCAGUAACGGCGAGUGAAGCGGCAACAGCUCAAAUUUGAAAUCUGGCCUCGGCCCGAGUUGUAAUUUGCAGAGGAUGCUUCGGGCGCGGCGCCUUCCAAGUCCCCUGGAACGGGGCGCCUUAGAGGGUGAGAGCCCCGUACGGUUGGACGCCAAGCCUGUGUGAAGCUCCUUCGACGAGUCGAGUAGUUUGGGAAUGCUGCUCUAAAUGGGAGGUAGACCCCUUCUAAAGCUAAAUACCGGCUAGAGACCGAUAGCGCACAAGUAGAGUGAUCGAAAGAUGAAAAGAACUUUGAAAAGAGGGUUAAACAGUACGUGAAAUUGUUGAAAGGGAAGCGCUUGUGACCAGACUUGCGCCGUGGCGAUCCUCGGGCGUUCUCGCCCGGGCACUCGCCCCGGCUCAGGCCAGCGUCGGUUCGGGAGGGGGGACAAAGGUGCUGGGAACGUGGCUCUUCGGAGUGUUAUAGCCCAGCGCGCCAUGCCCCCGCCCGGACCGAGGUUCGCGCUCUGCAAGGACGCUGGCGUAAUGGUCACCAGCGGCCCGUCUUG